GACGAACGCUGGCGGCGUGCUUAACACAUGCAAGUCGAGCGGAAAGGCCCUUUCGGGGGUACUCGAGCGGCGAACGGGUGAGUAACACGUGAGUAAUCUGCCCUUGGCUUUGGGAUAACUACCGGAAACCGGUGGCUAAUACCGGAUACGACGUACUCAGGCAUCUGAUGUGCGUGGAAAGUUUUUCGGUCCAGGGAUGUGCUCGCGGCCUAUCAGCUUGUUGGUGGGGUAAUGGCCUACCAAGGCUUCGACGGGUAGCCGGCCUGAGAGGGUGACCGGCCACACUGGGACUGAGACACGGCCCAGACUCCUACGGGAGGCAGCAGUGGGGAAUAUUGGACAAUGGGCGGAAGCCUGAUCCAGCAACGCCGCGUGAGGGAUGACGGCC
rnacentral:rRNA from 1 species